UUAAAAUGUAUCAGGAACUGUAGUACUUUUCGAGUACUUUAAGAUAGGAUCUUUAAAACAAUAUAUUUUUCAUGUUGCGGUGCCACGGGAAGUUAGCACCUCAUAUUUUCAAAUUGCAAUUUCUCUAAGUAUUUUGGCGGUACUCUUGCUAAUACCUAUCAGGAACUCUAGUACUCUUUGGGGUGCAAAUAGUACUCUUGAUAAAACUUACGAUUUUGAAAGAUGCGGUGCUAACUUCACACAGGCCGUAUUUACAAACAAGAUAUUAGUUGUGCAAACAAAGCUGAUGCUGGUGCUUGUGAUGAACAGUCUCUCUCUCACACACACGUACACACACACACGCACGCACGCACGCACGCACGCACGCACGCACGCACGCACGCACGCACGCACGCACGCACGCACGCACGCACGCACGCACGCACACGUAGACGUAAAUAAUAUGGAUUGGAUAUAGUCUCGGCGCAAAGAAAAAUUAAAAUCUGCGCUUGGCGCAGCAUCUCUGAAUGGCACAAUCUGAGAAAACGAUAGCGCAUGUAGAAAUGGCAUCGUCAAUUUUUUAAUGGAGUCAGAUUGUCAGGCUGAUGACAGUUCGAUUGCCGUCGAUGAUGGCACAUCUCGCCUCGCGGUGUAUAAAAGUGCGGAAAAUUUUAAUAGCAUUUGCAGUCGUCAGAAGUACAUCGAGCUGCGAAGCGCGAUGGACAGAAAACAUUAAGUUAUUCCUUCGUUUAUCAACAAUGGGAGCGAGGCAAUAGAAAUGAGAAAACGAUAGCGCAUGUAGAAAUCGUAUCGUCAAUUCAAGAUAACAAGAAAGUACAAGGCAAUUUCUGAAAGGCUAUCAUACACGCGAGACGUCGGCUAUUGGUUCUUGAGAUAUCCUGUCAACCGUUUGGUCAGCUCAUUUUUCAACGUUGCGCUUCUAAACUAAUUUCUUGGGAAUUUUGGAAUAAAAUGUAAACAUUUUUUUCAUAUCUUGAUGUGUGUAUUAAUAAAUGUGUGAAAAAUUAGAAUCGUAUGCCUUAUAAUUUUCUUUAAAAAAAUUCUAAAAAAGUUCUUAUUUUUAGUGCGGUUACAUCAGAAUGUACCCUUAAGGGGAUACUAAACUGCUGUGUUUUAUCAUUAAUUUUCGGACACCGAAAUCUUUUUAUUGAUUGCAUGGAAUUGAAAAUCCUUCUCCAAAA